UGACGUACCAGCGAAAACUGCGCUAAAAUGUCUGGUAAUAAUUAACAUUUUAUCGACGUCAUACUUUGGUAUACUAAAUAGCUAUUCUAUAGUGUGUUACAUCAUUUCAAAAGGCAUACAAUUUACCAACCAAAGGUGUAUAAAAAUGACCUACACGCUGCAUUCCACGACCAAGAAAAAAAUCAGCACACAAAUUCAAUCAGCUGAACUCAAGAAGAACAAGGAUAGCGGAUUGGAUACGUUUUGGAAAAGGGCUUGUUGGGAAUGGAUUUACCCCACUGGUAAACAACAUGGAACUGGAAUAAGGAUUUAAAACAAUACAUUAUACAGGGUGUUAAUAAAGUAUACAGAGAAACUUUAAA